rnacentral:rRNA from 1 species
GCAUAUCAAUAAGCGGAGGAAAAGAAACCAACAGGGAUUGCCCCAGUAACGGCGAGUGAAGCGGCAAUAGCUCAAAUUUGAAAUCUGGCCCCUUUGGGGUCCGAGUUGUAAUUUGCAGAGGGCGCUUUGGAGUUGGCUGCAGCCUAAGUUCCUUGGAACAGGUCAUCAUAGAGGGUGAGAAUCCCGUAUGUGGUUGCAUGCCUUCGCCGUGUAAAGCCCCUUCGAUGAGUCGAGUUGUUUGGGAAUGCAGCUCUAAAUGGGAGGUAAAUUUCUUCUAAAGCUAAAUAUUGGCCAGAGACCGAUAGCGCACAAGUAGAGUGAUCGAAAGAUGAAAAGCACUUUGGAAAGAGAGUCAAAAAGCACGUGAAAUUGUUGAAAGGGAAGCGCUUGCAGCCAGACUUGCCCGCAGUUGCUCAUCCGGGGUUCUCCCCGGUGUACUCUUCUGUGGGCAGGCCAGCAUCAGUUCGGGCGGUUGGAGAAAGACCUGUGUCAUGUAGCUGUUCUCGGGCAGUGUUAUAGGGCAGGUGGAAUGCAACCAGCUCGAACUGAGGUCCGCGCAUCUGCUAGGAUGCUGGCGUAAUGGCUGUAAGCGGCCCGUCUUGAAACACGGACCAAGGAGUCUAACAUCUAUGCGAGUGUUUGGGUGUCAAGCCCGAGCGCGUAAUGAAAGUGAACGGAGGUGGGAACCCCUCGGGGUGCACCAUCGACCGAUCCUGAUGUCUUCGGAUGGAUUUGAGUAAGAGCAUAGCUGUUGGGACCCGAAAGAUGGUGAACUAUGCCUGAAUAGGGUGAAGCCAGAGGAAACUCUGGUGGAGGCUCGCAGCGGUUCUGACGUGCAAAUCGAUCGUCAAAUUUGGGCAUAGGGGCGAAAGACUAAUCGAACUAUCUAGUAGCUGGUUCCUGCCGAAGU